AUGCCUUAAACUUAUGAGUUAACAAAAUAAUGAUUCGGGGUGAUGUCCAAAUGCUCACCGCUAAUGUGAGAUGAAUUUUUGUGUGGGCAAAGGUUGCCCUUCAGGUGACCUGCCUACUUUGCGGGAUGCCUCCGAGUGGCAAUCUGCUCA
ensembl:snRNA U12 U12 minor spliceosomal RNA